rnacentral:rRNA from 1 species
GCACAAGCGGUGGAGCAUGUGGUUCAAUUCGAAGCAACGCGAAGAACCUUACCAGCUUUUGACAUCCCGGUCGCGAGCACCAGAGAUGGAGCUCUUCAGUUCGGCUGGACCGGAGACAGGUGCUGCAUGGCUGUCGUCAGCUCGUGUCGUGAGAUGUUGGGUUAAGUCCCGCAACGAGCGCAACCCUCGCCCUUAGUUGCCAUCAUUUAGUUGGGCACUCUAAGGGGACUGCCGGUGAUAAGCCGGAGGAAGGUGGGGAUGACGUCAAGUCCUCAUGGCCCUUACAGGCUGGGCUACACACGUGCUACAAUGGCGGUGACAGAGGGAUGCAAAGGAGCAAUCCUUAGCAAAUCUCAAAAAGCCGUCUCAGUUCGGAUUGUGCUCUGCAACUCGAGCACAUGAAGUUGGAAUCGCUAGUAAUCGCAGAUCAGCACGCUGCGGUGAAUACGUUCCCGGGC